ACCCUUUUGGAGAGCUCACCAUGGCCCUGGCCCUACUGUCCUUGGUGCUUCUCGAUUACUAUGCUGGUGUCCAUUCUCAGGGAACAUUGACUCAGUCAGCUUCAGUGUCUGGGUCUCUGGGACAGACGGCCACACUCUCCUGCAUCAAAAGCAGUGGAAGCUGGAGCAGCGUUAUCUCCUGGUAUCAGCAGAGAUCUGGAGAGGCCCCUCGCUCUGUUCACUGCAAUGGCUGCAGCAGCAGGGGAGCAGGGAUCCCAGAUCGGUUCACGGCAUCCGUUUCUGGAAACACAGGCUCUUUAUCCAUCACAAAUGUCCAGGGUGAAGACGAGGCUGAUUACUACUGUUUGUCUUACUAUAGCACAGGCAGCUUGUAUCAUUCACAGUGGUUCAUUCUCAUGGGGAAGUGA